AGAAUCAACGCUGGCGGCGUGCCUAACACAUGCAAGUCGAACGAGAAAGGGGAGCAAUCCCUGAGUAAAGUGGCGCACGGGUGAGUAACACGUGACUAACCUACCCUGGAGUGGGGGGAUAACUGAGGGAAACCUUAGCUAAUACCGCAUAACACCUACGGGUCAAAGGAGCAAUUCGCUUUGGGAGGGGGUCGCGGCCGAUUAGUUAGUUGGCGGGGUAAUGGCCCACCAAGACAGUGAUCGGUAUCCGGCCUGAGAGGGCGCACGGACACACUGGAACUGAAACACGGUCCAGACUCCUACGGGAGGCAGCAGUGGGGAAUUUUGCGCAAUGGGGGAACCCUGACGCAGCAACGCCGCGUGGAGGAUGAAGUACUUCGGUACGUAAACUCCUUUCGAUCGGGACGAUAAUGACGGUACCGGAAGAAGAAGCCCGGCUAACUUCGUGCCAGCAGCCGC
rnacentral:rRNA from 1 species